GUAUAUAAACGCCUUGUGUUUAGCUUUAUUAUCGAGUUCCCAGAUUCUUCCGAGCAGCGCCAAAAGGUAUAACAAUGUUAUCAGACGUUUUGUUCGUGCUACUGUUGACGCUCUGCGCCUCGGUGUCUAGUCAGACAUAUAAGGGAUACCCUUCAUGUUACAAGGUGUAUUGCCCACCUAUCUACUGUCCAAAUGGGCAAUACACGCCGAUUGGCGAGUGCCGCCCUCGUUGCAACCCAGGGCAUGGGUAUCCAGACCCUUAUUACUAACGGUGAAAGGGAUUUUCAAGUCGUGACAGCAAUGCAGACAAGGGAAUGACAUGAACUAAGGACAAAAUAAUGGAUAGCCAUAUAGAACAAAAUAUUUUUGUACUGAAAUCGUUUGCCUUUGCUUCCUAUAACAAAUAUAGCAAAUAAAAAUAAUUCA